rnacentral:rRNA from 1 species
GAUGAACGCUAGCGGCAGGCCUAAUACAUGCAAGACGAACGGUAAGAGUGAUAGCAAUAUUGCUCCUAGAGUGUCGUAAGGGUGCGUAACACGUAUGCAAUCUGCCCUCAACAGGAGGAUAGCUCCCCGAAAGGGGAAUUAACACUCCAUAACAAGGAGGUGUGGCAUCACAUUUCUUUUAAAACUACGGUGGUUGAGGAUGAGCAUGCGCAUGAUUAGUUAGUUGGCGGGGUAACGGCCCACCAAGACGAUGAUCAUUAGGGGAACUGAGAGGUUGAUCCCCCACACUGGCACUGAGAUACGGGCCAGACUCCUACGGGAGGCAGCAGUAGGGAAUAUUGGACAAUGGGUGCGAGCCUGAUCCAGCCAUGCCGCGUGCAGGAAGACGGCCUUCUGGGUUGUAAACUGCUUUUGCCAGGGGAUAAAACGUUCCUGCGGGAAUAAUUGAAGGUACCUGGUGAAUAAGCCACGGCUAACUACGUGCCAGCCGCCGCGGUAACAC